rnacentral:misc_RNA from 1 species
GGGAUACUUAAUUUAAAAUUGAAACAAUUUUCGAAAAUUGUAAAAUCACGUGUUUUAUAUCCAAUUCUACAAAACUAUUCUUCCUUAAUUAGGCAAGAUAUGGCUAAUCCCUCUCCAACAUAAUCCCUAUCAUGGACACAUAAACUAACAAAAAGUUCUUCACUACAUCCAUAACACUCCAUCAAACGAAUGAAUAACAAUCACUUGUUAUGAGUGUAAAGUGUUUAAAGACAUGUCAUUCAUUUAUUGGCUCAUGAUUUAUGGUAUUUGUUCAUUCAUUUCAUGCAGUACUUUUAGUGUAGUCAACUGAUUUACUGAUGGUGGCAGCACGACUACAAUAGUAGUUGCUUGAUUGAUAAUGAUUGUGAAGCAUAGUUAUUUUGAUAGUUAUCAACAAUUUGAGAGAGAACAAGUCACUUUUAGUAACUGUAGAUUAAGAGAGUAUCAUAGUUAAAUAUAUUUGACAUGAUUACUUAAUCCUGUAUGAUAUAUCCUAUUAAACUGUUGACAAGACUUAGUAAUUAAUGUAAA